CUGUAGUAUUCAAAAUUAUCGGAAAACACCCCUUUUGGGGGAAAGGGGCAGUGGGAUGAGAGGCUCUGAGUAAUGUCUCGUUGAAGAGGAGCAGGAGUGUUAAUUGAAAGCGGCUACUUGUCUAUCAACCUUAUCCAGCACCAGAUUUUACCUUGGAUGAUAUGCCUCAAGCUCUGCUCUUUGGAGGAAUGGAGUGCCUGCAAAACAAGAGCAGUGCUUGUGAAAAGGAAUCACCCUAUUUUUUGUUCCUGCAUUUACUUUAUAAAAGGAAAAAAGACAACAAAUAAUCUAAAUAUAAAAGAAAAUUCCAAUUCAUCUCACCUGUUUUGAAGCAGGUGAAAAGAUGAGGCAUUGCAGCGAUUGUUGGGUAGCAAAAUCCAACCAAACUUUAGUUAAGAUCACUUGAGCCAUCCCUUGUUCUUCUGGUUUUUAGUAUCUUUGCAUGUUAGCUUGUAUGAGAAUCAGACCAGCACCAGAACAGGAUAAGCUUUCUUCAAUCAUUGCUUAUGGAGAGGCCUUUCCUGUCUUCCCCAACUGCUCAAUUGUGGUCCCCCCAACGUUCUGAUAUGCAAUUUCAGUUAUGUAUAUCCCCAAUCCGAUGCAUUUGUAUUUUUCGUGUUAAAAUCGUGAUUAAUUCAUAAUUUUAUAUUUUAGUUGUUUCUUCAAUGUAUUUUGUUUUCCAGGGGUCUUUGGCUACUAUAUAAAUAACCCUAGCAUUGGCCAUGUUAAAGCAGAUCAAUUAACGUGCCUUUGCUGCCGAUUGGAAACAAUCAAAUGGAUUCCAAUGCAUCAGGGUUUUUGCUAAACAACUCGAUUCUCCAAACAGUUUACUGUCAAAACAGUGAAGAAAAUGGUAUGAUUGAUCUUGGUCUUAGUCUCAGAACUUUUCAACCACAACCUUAUCAGCCAUCCACAUUUGCUAAGCUUGGAAGCUGGAUAUGGUGACCUGAUAAGUUGGCCCAGCCAGGUUAGUUCAUCGCAUCGGAAAAGCUCGAACGCUGAAUAUUCCGAGCUCGCUCCUAAAGACCCUGGUGACGAAGCAGAAGGGGUUCAGAGCAAGGAGAGGUGUGCUUAUGUAAAGGUUAACAUGGACGGAGUUAUGGUUGGUCGCAAAGUUUGCAUGCUUGAUCAGGGUGGUUACUUAGGCCUUGCACGUCAACUCGAAGAUGUUCGGGAGACAUACAGCUUUGGGGUUAAGGUUGUUCGAAUUUGAGUCCGAGUUUUUGUUGUUAUACAAGGACGACACUGAGGAUAAUUGGAAGAAUGUCAGCGAUGUUCCAUGGAAGGAGUUCGCGGAACAGGUAAAACGGUUGCGUAUUGGCCGAAAGAACGAAGCUGUUUAUCGUCCUUGUUCGUCAUCAUUCAACUAAUUCUUCAUAUUCAUAAUUUCUCAAGAUUGCAACUCUCGGUAGCUGUGUGUUCGUUUCAUAGCUCAAUUUAGCUUACCAUGGAGCUGGGUCUUUAUUUCGAAUGUCGGACAUAAGUCCAUAUUUGUCAUUAUGCCUAACAUGU